UACGGGGGGGGCAAGCGUUGUUCGGAAUUACUGGGCGUAAAGGGCUCGUAGGCGGCCAACUAAGUCAGACGUGAAAUCCCUCGGCUUAACCGGGGAACUGCGUCUGAUACUGGAUGGCUCGAGUUUGGGAGAGGGAUGCGGAAUUCCAGGUGUAGCGGUGAAAUGCGUAGAUAUCAGGAGGAACACCGGUGGCGAAAGCGGGUCUCUGGGCCGAAAUUGACGCUGAGGAGCGAAAGCGUGGGGAGCAAACAGG
rnacentral:rRNA from 1 species